rnacentral:rRNA from 1 species
AUUGAACGCUGGCGGCAGGCCUAACACAUGCAAGUCGAGCGAGCGGCGGACGGGUGAGGACUGUAUGGGGACUGCCCGUUAGAGGGAGAUAACUACUGGAAACGGUGGCUAAUACUGCAUACUGUUGGAUAACCCCUAUGGGAUUAGCUAGUGGGUAAGGUAAUGGCUUACCUAGGCGACGAUCCCUAGCUGGUCUGAGAGGAUGAUCAGCCACACUGGGACUGAGACACGGCCCAGACUCCUACGGAGGCAGCAGUGGGGAAUAUUGCACAAUGGGCGAAAGCCUGAUGCAGCCAUGCCGCGUGUAUGAAGAAGGCCUUAGGGUUGUAAAGUACUUUCAGUCGGGAGGCGUUACCGACAGAAGAAGCACCGGCUAACUCCGUGCCAGCAGCCGCGGUAAUUC